rnacentral:rRNA from 1 species
GAUCCUGGCUCAGGAUGAACGCUAGCUACAGGCUUAACACAUGCAACCGUCGAGGGGCAGCGGGAUUGAAGCUUGCUUCAAUUGCCGGCGACCGGCGCACGGGUGAGUAACGCGUAUCCAACCUUCCGUACACUCAGGGAUAGCCUUUCGAAAGAAAGAUUAAUACCUGAUGGUAUCUUAAGCACACAUGUAAUUAAGAUUAAAGAUUUAUCGGUGUACGAUGGGGAUGCGUUCCAUUAGGUAGUAGGG